CUCGUUAAGACUAGAUGGGGUAUCCCUACAUAGCGGGUGGGACCCACGGCGAAUGGUUCAUCAAGUCUUCAAAAAAGAAUAUAUACGAUUGCAUUGCAUAUACUAACGGAUGCGAUCAUACCAGCACUAAUGCACCGGAUCCCAUCAGAACUCCGCAAUUAAGCGUGCUUGGGCGAGAGUAGUACUAGGAUGGGUGACCUCCCGGGAAGUCCUCGUGUUGCAUCCCUCUUUUAUAUUUAACCUCUUU
rnacentral:rRNA from 1 species